AUGUAAGUGAGAGUUUCGUAAUGUUUUUUUCCUCCCCUGAGAAAAAUAAAAGUGACUCAUCACAUUAUGGUAAGAAUGAACUCUUUGGAUGAUUGAUCAUCCAUCCUUGAUGUUAUCCGAGGGUGAAGUCGCAUUUGACUUGUCAUGCUAAUUAUUACAUAGUUCCUAUAAACAUUAAAGGACAAAAUGAGGAAAAAUGGAAUAAGAAAUAUUUUGAGUCCAGGUUUUAGCUCUGCCACCUACUAGUGACUUUGAGAAGGGGAAGACUUUGCAAUCCCUUCUCACUAGCACACCCAUGCUUCCACCUCUGUGGAGCGGCAGAACUUCAAGGGCAAACAUGGCUUCAGAGCCCAAGAGAGAAUGUAAUGUGGUCAGGAGCAGCCCCAAGAAACUCAAAGACCUUCAUCUUAUCUGACAGGAGAUGCUGCUGGACUGCAUGCCACCAGUCCCACUCCUGAAGCAGAAUGUUCAAGGAGUGUGUCCGAAAAGCAGAAGCUGGCUGCUCCAAGGAAGAAAGGCUAUGCUUCAACCAGCCUCACUCUACUUGAAGAAAAGGCUCUCCCAGAAGAGAGGCAACCUGAAGGAUUCACCCAAGUGUUUCUGAGCCAGGACCUCUAGCACACUUUGGACAGUGGUGGCAUAAAAUAAUUGGAGGCAACCUGAAAAGCUAUUGAAGCUGUGGAGACCAUAUUGCAGCCAUUAAGCAGUAGAGAAAAGCAAACAUGCUGAGAACGGCAACAUAUGGCAAUGGAAAGAGCCUGGGUCACUGACAGCACUGUUUAGCUCAGGAUGACCAUCUACCUCUAAACUUGUUAGUACAGCUAGAGGGUCUUGAAGGGCAGAGGAAAUUCUUUCUCCCCAACGGUUGGCACAUUUUGCAGUACACUUUCUACUCGUUGGACACCUCUUGACCUGACAUUGCUGCAGUUGAGAGAUCCUUGGGACAAUGACAUUCAGCUGGCAGCAGGUGAAAUUUCUUACCAGGUGAAAUUCCAGCCUCCUGGAAUGUCUGUGUGUGGAGGCAAAUGGAGCCAGAGUGGCCCAACUUUGAGAACACAGCUGCAUCACUGUCUCCUGAAAUGGGUUUAACUGAACUGACUUAUUGCAAGGACUGGUCCACCAAGACAGAAUGAUCUACCUGCUCAACUUUUAUACGUGAAGCUUAAGGGAAGUGUCAGAGGAGGGAACUACAGGGGCCAAGGGCAGUAUGCUCCAAGAUGGCCCACUCUGGCAUGAACAUUAUUUCCAGUCAAAAGCAAUCAAAACCCAGCAGGUUACAGAGCCCCUGUGAGUGUGAGCUCAUCACAUGGCUGCCCACCAAGAUACUACAUUUCUCAGUCUCCCUUGAAGGUAUCCACAAUUACUGAAGCUGAGAUCAAGGAACUGACACAGGGCAUUGGCCGAAAUCUUCCACCCAGAAGCCCAACUCCUCCCAGGAUGAGGCAGAUUCUCAGAGCCUGACAGAAGGGGGGUCAUGGGACUGGUUGUGUCAAGGGGAAGAAGCUGAAAAUGGAGCCAAAGAAGAUUUUAAAAUCAGAGCUGUGUCAACAUGCAUAAAUUCACUUGCUUUGAAGAAGCUGCAAUGGGAUUCAGGAACCGUACUGAGCGGCAACAUGAUAGACUAGAAAUUCUCCUGACUUGCGGCACCUGGGUGGCUCAGUCGGUUAAGGGUCCGACUCUCGGUUUUGGCUCAGGUCAUGAUCUCACAGUUCAGGAG